GAGGUGUGACUUUCACCUGCUGGAGAAUCCAGCCUGUGUCUGCUCUGCUCUCUGCCUUCAGCUACAGAACCUGCUGUCAACCUUGCACAGACAUAGAGCAAGAUCACAGCACUACUGGAAGAGCUGCACUCAGGGCUCUCUCUGCUGCUUCCUCCAACACUCCGGCACUCUCUCACUCUUAACACACACACUCACAGGCACACACACACACACUCGGGCUCGUCCAGAACUCUACCACGCAAACGCUCACACACACACACACACACACAUACACUCACGCAGGCAGGCACACCCCCUCUCUAUCUGUGCAGUGAGAAGCUCUGCCUGUGUCGGUGUGAGCGGUGGACUGUUUCUCUCUCUGGCGGCAGCAGUACUAGCAGCAGGACUGGUCCAGUGGAGGGCAGUCAACUCGCUUUCUCCAGACUCCAGGACAGCUCACGCUCUGGACUUUGGAAGCCCUCAACAAGCCUCUCUCUCUUUUUUCUUUCUUUCUUUCGUUCUUUCUUUUUCUUUCUCUUUCUCUCCUCUUUUUCCUUCUCUUUCUCUCCCCUCUGCCUCGACGUGACGCAGUGUUUCUGACCUUCAUCCCCCUCGUGUGCACAGCGUGGGCCAGUGGGACAGCCAUGGAGGACACCCUCACCUGCAGCCCUGCCACCUUCUCCCAGGUGUUUGGACGCCAGGGACAGCUCAUGCAGGCUACGGUCCAGUCUCUGAACAGUCUGAAUGACCAGAUAGUCCACUUCAUGGUGACCAGGCCCGGCACUCUGUCCCGGGAGGACGAGGCCUUCAUGCCCGGAGAGAGAGACACCUUGAAGAAGUCCAUGGCCCUGAUGAGGCACCUGCUCAUGGACGCACAGGGGAAAAUCCUUAAAAUGAUGGAAGACAACAAGCAGCUGGCUCAGAGGAUCGAUGGGGCCAUCCAGUCUGCCAGUCAGGAGGUGACCAACCUGCGCUCAGAGCUGUCGGCCACCAGCCGUAGACUGGCAGAGCUGGGGGCCAGCAGCCCCCCCUCGCCCCUGGAGAACAACCACCAGCAUCACCAGCACAACCACCAUGACCAUGACAGCCUCCGCUACCAGGAUCACAGGCAGAAGUCGGUGGUGAGCGACAUCUGUUACCAGACAGAGAUCUCCAGCCUCAUGGACUUUGGCACCCCAGACUCCUCGCUCGACAAAGUGUUGCUGCGUGAGGAGGUGGCCCAGCUGCAGGAGGAGGUGCACCUGUUGAGGCAGAUGAAGGACAUGUUGAGUAAGGACCUGGAGGAGACCCAGGGAUGCUCUUCCCACCUCCUUUCAGCCACUGAGCUCCGUGUGCAGCUGGGAGACAAGGAGCAGGAGCUGGACCGCGCCAAGGAGGCCUUACAAGCUAUGAAGUCUGACCGUAAGCGUCUGAAGGUGGAGAAGGCCGACUUGGUGAACCAGAUGCAGCAGCUGUACACCACACUGGAGAGCCGGGAGGAGCAGCUCCGAGACUUCAUACGCAACUACGACCAGCACCGUAAGGAGAGUGAGGAUGCUGUGAAGGCCCUGGCUAAGGAGAAGGACCUGCUGGAGAGGGAGAAAUGGGAUCUGAGGAGGCAGACCAAAGAAGCUACAGAGCAGGCCUGCAUCCUGCGUUCUCACAUGGACAUGAAGGAGAACCGCAUCAAAGAGCUCGAGGCUGAGCUCACAAUGGCGAAACAGUCCCUGGCCACGCUGACUAAAGACGUGCCGAAGCGCCACUCCCUGGCCAUGCCCUCAGAGCCGGUGGUGAACGGCAGUCAGGAGUGGGCGAUGCAGGGAGACCUGCCCCUCACCGCUGCCAUCCGCCAGAGCCAACAGACCCUCUACCACGGACACACUGUGGACCGCCAGGCGGUGGUCAGGGUCAGUCCCUGUCACUCCCGCCAGCCCUCCGUCAUCUCGGACGCGUCGGCGGCUGACGGGGAUCGGUCGUCCACCCCAAGCGACAUCAACUCCCCUCGCCACCGGACCCACUCCCUCUGCAAUGUAAGAGCUGCCUGGCCUCCCCGACCAAUCUAUGGAGGACCUGGAGGACCAGAAGCGUAAGACAAAGAAGAAGGAGAAGAUGAGUCUGGGCUCCCUGUCCCGGGUGUUUGCUCGGGGAAAGCAGCGCAAGUCAAUGGACCCGGGCCUGUUUGAUGACUCUGACAGCCUCUCCAGCCUAUCAACACAACAACACAGCCUAUCAGACGGAGAGGAGCAGCUGGACCGCCUCCAGCAGAUGGAGCUCAUUCGGAACAUGCCCAUGUCACUGUGGAAGGCAGGGGCGGUACAAGCCUGGCUGGAGGUUGUCAUGGCAAUGUCCAUGUACCUUCGUGCUUGCUCGGAAAACGUC